GACCCCGCACAAGCAGCGGAGCGUGUGGUUUAAUUCGAUGCUACACGAAGAACCUUACCUGGGAUGGACAUGGAGGUGGUAGGGAGCCGAAAGGCGACCGACUCUUCGGAGAGCCUUCACAGGUGCUGCAUGGCUGUCGUCAGCUCGUGCCGUGAGGUGUCGGGUUAAGUCCCGUAACGAGCGCAACCCCUGCCCUUAGUUACAAGUGUCUAAGGGGACUGCCGGCGACAAGCCGGAGGAAGGUGGGGAUGACGUCAAGUCAGCAUGGCCUUUAUAUCCAGGGCUACACACACGCUACAAUGGGCGGUACAACGGGCAGCGAAGCCGUGAGGCGGAGCGAAUCCUGAAAAGCCGUUCCCAGUUCGGAUUGCAGGCUGCAACCCGCCUGCAUGAAGUUGGAGUUGCUAGUAACCGCGCGUCAGCCAUAGUGCGGUGAAUACGUUCCCGGGGUUU
rnacentral:rRNA from 1 species